rnacentral:lncRNA from 1 species
CAACCACCUAGGUUCUUAGGGGUAGCAUUGAUCCGCUGAGUCAUGAAUGGAUGUCUCCUGGAGGUCUAAGGAGUGUGUGCCCCACCCUACGCUAGGAUGGCACACUUCUCUGCCGGGUUCCUGUAUUCCACGCAGAAUGGCCAAAUGCAACUUGUUCUUCAUGGUCAUCUUUUGUGAAAAAGUCUCACAGAAGCGAGUUUGAUUCAGCCUCACACCUGCCCUGGUACCCUCUGAACUAUCGGGCCGAGAGUCUGCAAACUUCAUUCCCAGGCUCUUUUGCCAGCUGGAUCUCUGUCGAGUUCUGCCAGUUGGAGCACUGGUGGGAGACCAGAGGGGGAAAGGAGAGAGGAGACCUGCUUUGGCCCUCAUGGUGUGGCACUUGUUGGCAGGUCCUAAGAGUUGCUGUCACGGCAGCAGAGCUCUGAGGAUCUUCACUCUCAGCCAGUCUGAACAUUGGGAGUAAGAAACUUCUCCUCAGGGCCUGAUCCCCACUGCGCUCGCCUCUUGGGCGGAUGCCACGGGGCUCUCGUAGACAAACUCUGGUCAUGCCACACUUCACCAGAUGGAGGCCCGCUUCCGCCAUCUUUAAAUCACGGUUGGACUACAGUUUACCUCCCAGUGCAGUGCAGCCAGC